rnacentral:rRNA from 1 species
AGUGAACGCUGGCGGUAGGCCUAACACAUGCAAGUCGAACGGCAGCGCAGUAAGAGCUUGCUCUUACGGGUGGCGAGUGGCGGACGGGUGAGGAAUACAUCGGAAUCUACUUUUUCGUGGGGGAUAACGUAGGGAAACUUACGCUAAUACCGCAUACGACCUACGGGUGAAAGCAGGGGAUCUUCGGACCUUGCGCGAUUGAAUGAGCCGAUGUCGGAUUAGCUAGUUGGCGGGGUAAAGGCCCACCAAGGCGACGAUCCGUAGCUGGUCUGAGAGGAUGAUCAGCCACACUGGAACUGAGACACGAUCCAGACUCCUACGGGAGGCAGCAGUGGGGAAUAUUGGACAAUGGGCGCAAGCCUGAUCCAGCCAUACCGCGUGGGUGAAGAAGGCCUUCGGGUUGUAAAGCCCUUUUGUUGGGAAAGAAAAGCAGCAGGUUAAUACCCCGCUGUUCUGACGGUACCCAAAGAAUAAGCACCGGCUAACUUCGUG